GAUGAACGCUGGCGGCGUGCCUAACACAUGCAAGUCGAGCGAAGCACUUACUUUAGAUUUCUUCGGAAUGACGAAGUUUGUGACUGAGCGGCGGACGGGUGAGUAACGCGUGGGCAACCUGCCCUGUACAGGGGGAUAACAGUUAGAAAUGACUGCUAAUACCGCAUAAGCCCACAGCUUCGCAUGAAGCAGUGGGAAAAACUCCGGUGGUACAGGAUGGGCCCGCGUCUGAUUAGCUAGUUGGUAAGGUAACGGCUUACCAAGGCGACGAUCAGUAGCCGACCUGAGAGGGUGACCGGCCACAUUGGGACUGAGACACGGCCCAAACUCCUACGGGAGGCAGCAGUGGGGAAUAUUGCACAAUGGGGGAAGCCCUGAUGCAGCGACGCCGCGUGAGCGAUGAAGUAUUUCGGUAUGUAAAGCUCUAUCAGCAGGGAAGAAAGUGACGGUACCUGACUAAGAAGCCCCGGCUAACUACGUG
rnacentral:rRNA from 1 species